AUUGAACGCUGGCGGCAGGCUUAACACAUGCAAGUCGAGCGGAGCGAGGGUGCUUGCACCUUAGCUUAGCGGCGGACGGGUGAGUAAUGCUUAGGAAUCUGCCUAUUAGUGGGGGACAACAUUCCGAAAGGAAUGCUAAUACCGCAUACGCCCUACGGGGGAAAGCAGGGGAUCUUUGGACCUUGCGCUAAUAGAUGAGCCUAAGUCGGAUUAGCUAGUUGGUGGGGUAAAGGCCUACCAAGGCGACGAUCUGUAGCGGGUCUGAGAGGAUGAGCCGCCACACUGGGACUGAGACACGGCCCAGACUCCUACGGGGGGCAGCAGUGGGGAAUAUUGGACAAUGGGCGGAAGCCUGAUCCAGCCAUGCCGCGUGUGUGAAGAAGGCCUUUUGGUUGUAAAGCACUUUAAGCGAGGAGGAGGAGCUCUAGGUUAAUACCCUAGAUGCUUGGACGUUACUCGCAGAAUAAGCACCGGCUAACUCUGUGCCAGCAGCCGCCGUAAUAC
rnacentral:rRNA from 1 species